CAGGCUAGCUCAGGCCAGUUAACGGUGAAUAACUCGAUUGAACUGGACUUUUUUUUUAGAGGACUUUUUUCUUUCUUUCUUUCUUUCUUUCUUUUUUAGCGGAAUUUUCUUUCGUUCUUAGACCAUUACGAUGGGAAUCAUGGGACUGUUAUAUCCAAAUGCUUCCAGCCCAGCCUUGAUUUUCCAAAGCAGGCCAGUGUGGUGGAUCUCGGGCCGAACCAUGAAGAUUACGGCCCGCUUCCCUGAAACCGUACGCGAGGCUGACGGGAACCGUUUUGGGCCAUUAGUGGGCUCAUGAGAAGAAGGUUUUUGAGCCGCAUCGGGCCUGCUAAUAGUCGGCAGAUCGGCGACGACGAGGUUCUCCAUGUCCUGUCAAAGUUUGGGCCUGGGGCCAAACUUUCCAUCGGCAUCACACUCGCGGCCCAUGUUCUUAACAACCUGGGUCAUGAAAUAAAGCCCAUGGACCGACUCGCAGUCUCGUUUGGAAAGAAGGAAAAAAAAACACGGGAACAGAGCUGAGCAGGAGUCGGACUCCGAGUCCGAGCUGAACUUGAGAGACAGGGAAUUCCUCCGCGUCCGUUACUCUCUCUCUCUCAAGGUAAAAAAAAAAGGAAGGCUCCUCCGCCGCGCGGCGCGUCUAUAAAUUACAGCCCAUCUCCUUCGCAUGUUGCAGCUAAUCCUUGACCCCUUCCCCAAUAUUCUUCACCCGGCCCCAUCAUCUACUACGUACUGCUAGCUCCAUCCAUAAUUACUCCGGUCGAUUUCAUCCAGCC
rnacentral:lncRNA from 1 species